CUUAAAUACCAUGUCUAGAGUUCUGAUUUCUAUAAUCACAAAUAGCAAAAAAGACUCUGAAAAUGCCAUUUCCAAUGAUCUAGAGACUCAAAAUUUUCAAAAUUUCCCUGCUCGGUGCCAACCAUGGUAGCGCCUUGUGGGAGUGGGGCCCACUAUGUUUAACAAGCUUCCUACCCCCUGAGUAACCCAAUUGUGGUAUUUACAUAAAUAUACCAUGCAAGUGCACUGAACUGAUCAGAUUCGGUCUAUCAAAGCACAAUGUAACGCUGUAUAUCCAAAAUCUGUUUCAGAAAAUGCUCACAUUUCAG